ACUCCUACGGGNGGCAGCAGUGAGGAAUAUUGGUCAAUGGGCGCAAGCCUGAACCAGCCACGUCGCGUGAAGGAAGACGGCCCUACGGGNUGUAAANUUCUUUUGUAAGGGAAUAAAGUGCAGUACGCGUACUGUUUUGCAUGUACCUUACGAAUAAGGAUCGGCUAACUCCGUGCCAGCAGCCGCGGUAAUACGGAGGAUCCGAGCGUUAUCCGGAUUUAUUGGGUUUAAAGGGUGCGCAGGCGGGAGAUUAAGUCGGCGGUGAAAUUUUGCAGCUCAACUGUAAAAGUGCCUUCGAAACUGGUUUUCUUGAGUGUAGAUGAAGUAGGCGGAAUUUGUGGUGUAGCGGUGAAAUGCAUAGAUAUCACGAGGAACUCCGAUUGCGCAGGCAGCUUACUAAGCUACAACUGACGCUCAGGCACGAAGGCGUGGGGAUCAAACAGGAUUAGAUACCCUGGUAGUCCACGCAGUAAACGAUGAUUACUCGCUGUUUGCGAUAUACAGUAAGCGGCUUAGCGAAAGCGUUAAGUAAUCCACCUGGGGAGUACGUUCGCAAGAAUGAAACUCAAAGGAAUUGACGGGGGCCCGCACAAGCGGAGGAACAUGUGGUUUAAUUCGAUGAUACGCGAGGAACCUUACCCGGGCUUGAAAUGCAUCUGACAGGGGCGGAGACGCCCUCUCCCUUCGGGGCAGAUGUGUAGGUGCUGCAUGGUUGUCGUCAGCUCGUGCCGUGAGGUGUCGGCUUAAGUGCCAUAACGAGCGCAACCCUCAUCAUUAGUUACCAUCAGGUGAAGCUGGGGACUCUAGUGAGACUGCCAUCGUAAGAUGCGAGG
rnacentral:rRNA from 1 species